rnacentral:rRNA from 1 species
AUUGAACGCUGGCGGCAGGCCUAACACAUGCAAGUCGAACGAGUGGCGGACGGGUGCGUAAUGACUGGGAAACUGCAUGAUGGAGGGGGAUAACUACUGGAAACGGUAGCUAAUACCGCAUACCAUCGGAUGGUGACAGAUGGGAUUAGCUAGUAGGUGGGGUAACGGCUCACCUAGGCGACGAUUCCUAGCUGGUCUGAGAAGGUUACCAGCCACACUGGAACGGAGACACGGUCCAGACUCCUACGGGAGGCAGCAGUGGGGAAUAUUGCACAAUGGGCGCAAGCCUGAUGCAGCCAUGCCGCGUGUAUGAAGAAGGCCUUCGGGUUGUAAAGUACUGUCAGCGGGGAGGCGUUACCCGCAGAAGAAGCACCGGCUAACUCCGUGCCAGCAGCCGCGGUAAUUC